rnacentral:snRNA from 1 species
AAUGGUCUAUUCGCUUGUA